rnacentral:rRNA from 1 species
GACGAACGCUGGCGGCGUGCUUAACACAUGCAAGUCGAACGGAAAGGCCCUGCUUUUGUGGGGUGCUCGAGUGGCGAACGGGUGAGUAACACGUGAGUAACCUGCCCUUGACGUUGGGAUAACUUCAGGAAACUGGGGCUAAUACCGGAUAGGAGCUCCUGCUGCAUGGUGGGGGUUGGAAAGGUUCGGCGGUUGGGGAUGGACUCGCGGCUUAUCAGCUUGUUGGUGGGGUAGUGGCUUACCAAGGCUUUGACGGGUAGCCGGCCUGAGAGGGUGACCGGCCACAUUGGGACUUGAGAUACGGCCCAGACUCCUACGGGAGGCAGCAGUGGGGAAUAUUGCACAAUGGGCGGAAGCCUGAUGCAGCAACGCCGCGUGCGGGAUGACGGCCUUCGUGUUGUAAACCGCUUUCGCCUGUGACGAAGCGUGAGUGACGGUAAUGGGUAAAGAAGCACCGGCUAACUACGUG